UUUUAGAUUGUAUUUAUUGCAAUUGGCUAUAUAUAUAUAUAUAUAUAUAGAAUAAUUCUACUAUCAGGAUGGACCUGACCUUAUUUCGUCCGGAUCAACAACGUGAAAUUAAAACUGACCGCUCGAUCAAAAUCAAUGGCUCAGAUUAGAAUUAUACUUUCCCUUUCAAAAACGUACUCCCAUAUAGUAUUGCUUAACUACAGAGAUAGCAGAAACUAUAGGAUCUUAGCUGUUGCUUAAAGUAUUUUGAGGGAGGGAUUUUGGUGGUUAACACAGAGCAGAAGAGAGGAGGAGUAAAAGUUGUCUAAUUUUGGAUGUCUUCUUUAGACUUGUAAUAUUUUUGUAUAUACAGGUAAAGAAGAAGAAAGCUAAGAAGUUUGGUGUUUUUUUUUUUUUUUUUUUUUUUUUGGUUGGUUUUGGGUGAGUUUUAGCUUUGGUUUUGUACUUUAAUCUCUAAAGAAGAUUGAGAUUUGUGUAUAGUAAUUAAGUUGAUGAGAGAGAUUCCAUUUUGAGAAAUAAAACAGAGAGAGAGAGAGAGAGAGAGAAGUGAGAGAGUAAGCAGAACUCUGCGCUUAAAACGCGAAAUCCGGAUUGGACACCGGCAAUGAAGGCGAUGACAGUUACAAUGGCAAAGGGCAGAGGCGAUCUUUCCGAAAAAUGACUCCAUUUGGUUUUGGUGAUGUUGGCGAAAAAUAUAUGCAAUUGUCUAUAUUUUAUUUGAGGAAUUCAUUCAUUGAAAACUGAAUCACUUUUUAAUUUCCAGUGAAUAAAAGAAAUAUAGAAUGUACUUCUAUAUAUGUUUUUAAGUUAUAAAUUACACUUAAACUUUCGUUUAAUACGAAAAAGUCCAGUGAUAUAUAUAUAUACCCGUUUUUCAAUUCUCACCAUGAAAAUUAACGAUUGUCCUACUCUGUUUAAGCAGUAGGCAGAGACUACUCCUUUAUCUUUAUAUUCUGUAUCUCUGAAAAAAAUUAGCCGGGCAAGUAAAGGAAAACGCAGAGCAAGAGUUAUUUUGCAAUUAGCUAGAUUCCCUUUUAGACAACAAGGAUCCAAACAAAUGUCAUAUAAAAAAAAAGCUUGCACAUCAAAAUACACAAAUUCCUCUUCAUUAGCCAAGCUUGGCAAGAACAUCGUUCAGGGUAGAUACAGUCUCAGCGUAGUACUUCUCUGCUUCAG